GCCCUUGUAGCUCAGUCGGUAGAGCACCACCAUGGUAAGGUGGGGGUCAGCGGUUCAAAUCCGCUCGAGGGCU
rnacentral:tRNA from 2 species